AUUGAACGCUGGCGGCAUGCCUUACACAUGCAAGUCGAACGGCAGCACGGGUGCUUGCACCUGGUGGCGAGUGGCGAACGGGUGAGUAAUAUAUCGGAACGUACCUUAUCGUGGGGGAUAACGCAGCGAAAGCUGCGCUAAUACCGCAUACGCCCUGAGGGGGAAAGCGGGGGACCGUAAGGCCUCGCGCGAUUAGAGCGGCCGAUAUCUGAUUAGCUUGUUGGUGGGGUAAAAGACCACCAAGGCGACGAUCAGUAGCUGGUCUGAGAGGACGAUCAGCCACACUGGGACUGAGACACGGCCCAGACUCCUACGGGAGGCAGCAGUGGGGAUUUUGGACAAUGGGGGGCAACCCUGAUCCAGCAAUGCGCCGUGCAGGAGAAGGCCUC
rnacentral:rRNA from 1 species